AGUGAACGCUGGCGGUAGGCCUAACACAUGCAAGUCGAACGGCAGCACAGGAGAGCUUGCUCUCUGGGUGGCGAGUGGCGGACGGGUGAGGAAUACAUCGGAAUCUACUCUGUCGUGGGGGAUAACGUAGGGAAACUUACGCUAAUACCGCAUACGACCUACGGGUGAAAGCAGGGGACCUUCGGGCCUUGCGCGAUUGAAUGAGCCGAUGUCGGAUUAGCUAGUUGGCGGGGGAAAGGCCCACCAAGGCGACGAUCCGGAGCUGGUCUGAGAGUAUGAUCAGCUACACUGGAACUUAGGCACGGACCAGACUCCUACGGGAGGCAGCAGUGGGGAAUAUUGGACAAUGGGCGCAAGCCUGAUCCAGCCAUACCGCGUGGGUGAAGAAGGCCUUCGGGUUGUAAAGCCCUUUUGUUGGGAAAGAAAUCCAGCUGGCUAAUACCCGGUUGGGAUGACGGUACCCAAAGAAUAAGCACCGGCUAACUUCGUGCCAGCAGCCGCGGUAA
rnacentral:rRNA from 1 species